GACGAACGCUGGCGGCGUGCUUAACACAUGCAAGUCGAACGGAAAGGCCCUGCUUUUGUGGGGUGCUCGAGUGGCGAACGGGUGAGUAACACGUGAGUAACCUGCCCUUGACUUUGGGAUAACUUCAGGAAACUGGGGCUAAUACCGGAUAGGAGCUCCUGCUGCAUGGUGGGGGUUGGAAAGUUUCGGCGGUUGGGGAUGGACUCGCGGCUUAUCAGCUUGUUGGUGGGGUAGUGGCUUACCAAGGCUUUGACGGGUAGCCGGCCUGAGAGGGUGACCGGCCACAUGGGGACUGAGAUACGGCCCAGAAGCCUACGGGAGGCAGUAGUGGGGAAUAUUGCACAAUGGGCCGAAGUCUGAGGCAGAAACGCCGCGUGCGGGAUGACGGCCUUCGGGUUGUAAACCGCUUUCGCAGUUGACGAAGCGUGAGUGACGGUAACGGGUAAAGAAGCACCGGCUAACUACGUG
rnacentral:rRNA from 1 species